rnacentral:rRNA from 1 species
GCCGCGGUAAAACCAGCACCUCAAGUGGUCAGGAGGAUUAUUGGGCCUAAAGCAUCCGUAGCCGGCUCUGUAAGUUUUCGGUUAAAUCCAUGUGCUCAACGCAUGGGCUGCCGAAAAUACUGCAUAGCUAGGGAGUGGGAGAGGUAGACGGUACUCGGUAGGAAGGGGUAAAAUCCUUUGAUCUAUCGAUGACCACCUGUGGCGAAGGCGGUCUACCAGAACACGUUCGACGGUGAGGGAUGAAAGCUGGGGGAGCAAACCGGAUUAGAUACCCGGGUAGUCCCAGCUGUAAACGAUGCAGACUCGAUGAUGCAUUGGCAUAUAGCCAGUGCAGUGUCGCAGGGAAGCCGUUAAGUCUGCCGCCUGGGAAGUACGUACGCAAGUAUGAAACUUAAAGGAAUUGGCGGGGGAGCACGGUCA